AAGAAAAAAAAAAAAAAAGGAAAAAAAAAAAAAAAAAAAGAAAAAAGCGCGUGAGAGAUACGACUAGGGGAAUAGAUCACUGAAAUUUUAAAUUUUCCCUGUUUUUGUAAAAACGCUAUCAUCUAUCCCGCAGAGGAUAUCUGGGGGGUAUGCACCCCUCUGUGGGAACCAUCGGUCUCAGUCUCGAUCCCGACAGGCUCCCGCACACGCCUUCACCUGCGCUUUGUCCGCAAUUUACCUGGUGAGCGCAGCCCCCCGGCUCGCUAGGCUGCAAAAUGAUGGGGGGAAAGCCUCAAGCAGACCCCAGCCUGCCCACAAAACCGCCUUUCGUGUAAGUUAGUGCGGAGAAAUGCCUUCAUGGCGAAGGGGGAGGUUGCACACGCGCAGCUUUGUCCAGAAAGAUAUAAUUUUCUUUUUCAGGCGCUGCCAAGAAAGAUUUCGUUUGCAGGAUCUCUCUUUAAUUUUAAGAUUUUGGUUUUUUGUUGGUUUGGGUUUUGGUGUUUGGGGGUUUUGGCGGGGGGGGGGGAUUGGUUGUUUUUUUGGGUUGUUUGUUUGUUUGUUUGUUUUGCUUUCAAGGUUAUUUCGGGAGCAGCUGUUGUUGGAGGGAGGAACGAGGCCGACCCCGCAGGUUUGAUUUGUUUCUCCUCAGGCAAAAGUUUGCUGGGUAGGGACCGACUCGGCAUGGUGAACGGGACUCGACUCCCGCCCGGCAACGGCGGUGCCCCGCGGCCUCCUGCCCCUGCGAGCCACGGGGCUGAGCCAGACCGGAGUUUAGAUUUCCAAGGAAAAAAUAUUUGUAUUUAAUAAAGAUGCUCCGUGAGCCGGGAAAGAACUAUCUCAACGACCAAAACUCACACCUCCUUAGUGAAAUCGCUUUUCUUAUUGAAAUUGCAUCAAAUCCAGGCAGGCUUCGCUCUCGGACACUUCCCUUUUUUUUCUUCUUUUUUUUUUUUUUUUUUUUUUUUUUUUUUUUUUUUUUUUCCCCUUGACUUCCAGCCUGAGCACCCCAAAGCAAAAGAAGGAUAAAAAGAGGGGAAUUUUGCACAUACAAAAACGGAAGGGAAAAAAGGAGAAGUGGUGAAAGAGUCGACGGAGAGGAGCGGCCGUGUCCCCGAUGUGCCUGGGAAGAGGGAGAUGCUGUCGGCAGCCGCGUCCUGGGAUCGCCCUGCACGGAAUGUCUCCAAAACCAGGAACUGUCACUCAACUACGGGAAAAGAGGGGUUUGAAGGCUACAGAUUUUCCCCAAGUGGGGUCAGACGGGGGUGUGGGAGCUGGGAGCUCAGGGGCCGAGACCGGAGCAGUGCCCACCCGAGCUUCACCACACUGUGCCUUCUCUCCAGCCGCUCUGUCCCAGGACAGCUGGGCUCACCCCUCCACGUGCCACCAGAGACAUUGGGGGUUGAGGGGCAGGGAGCCAGGAUUUUCCCCUCACGUCCUCUGGAAGAGAAGGAUGUUUUUCUUUCUUGUUAAGCUUUCGUACUAAAGAUGUCAUCUGAAAGUCUGGGAGGAAGGGGGGAUUGCUCUCUUUCUUGGUAACAACCAUAUUCUGCAUAUUGAAAAACAUGAUAGACAGUGGGGGAAUAUUUCCUCCCUCAUUAAAAACUUUAAAAAAGAAGGGGGAAAAAAAAGAAGAAGAAGAAGAAAAACACCCCAACCUUUUCAAUAUUGAUUCAACAAAAAAAGAGGGAGAGAAUUUUAAAAGAGAAGAAGCAGCACCAACAGCAAGGAGAAUAUAGGCUCAGCAGCUCUCCAGGUUCGCUUUCUUAUUAUUACUAUCCAGGGGUAAUUUUUCAUCUCUGCUAGCUAAUCUUUGUUCCUUGUGAAGAUAAUGAAUAGCCCAAUUCUUAUCUCCUGGGCUCCUGGAGGCUGCUGGAGAAUGGGGUUGAACAGGGUUGAAAAUUGGUUCCAAAGUGCUGCUGAAUAAAUGGUGUUCCUUAUCUCUCA